rnacentral:lncRNA from 10 species
UUAAAGGAAGGGGCCAGAACUAGGGUUGGAAUGUGGAACAUUUGAGGUCGCUCUUCACCCUGGUGAUCUUUGCCAAUCAACAGAGGCUUUGAGUAAGCAAUCAGCCCAAAAGCAAUUCAGAAGGGAGGCAACUUAAACAAAUAAAAUAAAUAAAUUCAAAAGGCAAAGCAGCUAAAUAUGAGAAGAAAACAGCGUCGGCUAAUGGUGGGGAUUUAUGAGCAUGAGCUGUGGUUUGAAUCUUAUACGGGGUUAUAAAUAAAGAUGCUGAUGAAAAGCAGAAGUCCUUCCCUAUGUCCACAUCCGUGGUGUUCCUAAAUACUUAUCUCUGGAAUCUGCUGGAAUGUCUAAAGCUGCUAGUCACAUGGACCUGGCUCAAAGUCAUGAUUAGCAGAUGUCCCGUGAGCCACCUUUGCUAGUGUGAGGACAAGUUCAAAUAGCACCAGGGCCUUCUCUCUCUCUCUCUCUCUCUC